rnacentral:rRNA from 1 species
GAUGAACGCUGGCGGCGUGCCUAAUACAUGCAAGUCGAGCGAACAGACGAGGAGCUUGCUCCUUUGACGUUAGCGGCGGACGGGUGAGUAACACGUAGGUAACCUACCUAUAAGACUGGGAUAACUUCGGGAAACCGGAGCUAAUACCGGAUAAUAUUUCGAACCGCAUGGUUCGAUAGUGAAAGAUGGCUUUGCUAUCACUUAUAGAUGGACCUGCGCCGUAUUAGCUAGUUGGUAAGGUAACGGCUUACCAAGGCAACGAUACGUAGCCGACCUGAGAGGGUGAUCGGCCACACUGGAACUGAGACACGGUCCAGAUUCCUACGGGAGGCAGCAGUAGGGAAUCUUCCGCAAUGGGCGAAAGCCUGACGGAGCAACGCCGCGUGAGUGAUGAAGGUCUUCGGAUCGUAAAACUCUGUUAUUAGGGAAGAACAAACGUGUAAGUAACUGUGCACGUCUUGACGGUACCUAAUCAGAAAGCCACGGCUAACUACGUG